rnacentral:rRNA from 1 species
AUUGAACGCUGGCGGCAAGCCUAACACAUGCAAGUCGAACGAGUGGCGGACGGGUGAGUAAUGUCUGGGAAACUGCCUGCUGGAGGGGGAUAACUACUGGAAACGGUAGCUAAUACCGCAUACCAUCGGAUGUGCCCAGUUGGGAUUAGCUAGUAGGUGGGGUAAAGGCUCACCUAGGCGACGAUCCCUAGCUGGUCUGAGAGGAUGACCAGCGAGACUGGAACUGGGACACGGUCCAGACUCCUACGGGAAGCAGCAGUGGGGAAUAUUGCACAAUGGGCGCAAGCCGGAUGCAGCCAUGCCGCGUGUAUGAAGAAGGCCAUGGAGUUUUAAAGUACUUUAAGCGGGGAGGCGUUACCCGCAGAAGAAGCACCGGCUAACUCCGUGCCAGCAGCCGCGGUAAUAC